rnacentral:rRNA from 1 species
GAUGAACGCUAGCGGCAGGCCUAAUACAUGCAAGUCGAGGGGCAGCAGGGGUAGCAAUACUCGCUGGCGACCGGCGCACGGGUGCGUAACGCGUAUGUAAUCUGCCCACUACAGGGGGAUAGCCCGGAGAAAUUCGGAUUAAUACCCCAUAAAACAGGGAACCCGCAUGGGUAUAUUGUUAAAGCUCCGGCGGUAGUGGAUGAACAUGCGUCCGAUUAGCUAGUUGGUUGAGGUAACGGCUCACCAGGCGACGAUCGGUAGGGGGUCUGAGAGGAUGAUCCCCCACCCUGGUACUGGGAUACGGACCAGGAUCCUACGGGAGGCAGCAGUAGGGAAUAUUGGGCAAUGGACGCAAGUCUGGCCCAGGCAUGCCGCGUGCAAGAAGAAGGCUUUCUGAGUUGUAAACUGCUUUUGAAUGGGAACAAAUGACCCUUGCGAGGGUAGCUGGGUGUACCAUUAGAAUAAGCACCGGCUAACUCCGUGCCAGCAGCCGCCGCAG